UAAAUCUGCAAAAUGCUGCAA
ensembl:piRNA 21ur-13654 ncRNA